AGGAUUUAUCAAAGCUUAAACUUAAACAAAAAGUACAAAGAGUGGAGAUUAUGCAAUUAAGUAUCAAAAGAAUCUCUACUCUCGAGGUUUCAAAUCAAACUCUUCCAUAAUAAGCUAAGUGUUAAUGAAAUUAGCUUCCGGAUAUAGUAUAUACAACUAUCCUCACCCUCCAACCUAAGCUUUUCUCGGAUAUUGGCAACAUUAACCAACUCUUAAUAGGUUAAGAACGCACCUUCUUAUUCACAAUUCUUUUUACUUACUAAACUUAACCAAUUCACCUAUGUAGCA
rnacentral:lncRNA from 1 species